rnacentral:rRNA from 1 species
GAUGAACGCUGGCGGCGUGCCUAAUACAUGCAAGUCGAGCGAACGGACGAGAAGCUUGCUUCUCUGAUGUUAGCGGCGGACGGGUGAGUAACACGUGGAUAACCUACCUAUAAGACUGGGAUAACUUCGGGAAACCGGAGCUAAUACCGGAUAAUAUUUUGAACCGCAUGGUUCAAAAGUGAAAGACGGUCUUGCUGUCACUUAUAGAUGGAUCCGCGCUGCAUUAGCUAGUUGGUAAGGUAACGGCUUACCAAGGCAACGAUGCAUAGCCGACCUGAGAGGGUGAUCGGCCACACUGGAACUGAGACACGGUCCAGACUCCUACGGGAGGCAGCAGUAGGGAAUCUUCCGCAAUGGACGGAAGCCUGACGGAGCAACGCCGCGUGAGUGAUGAAGGUCUUCGGAUCGUAAAACUCUGUUAUUAGGGAAGAACAUAUGUGUAAGUAACUGUGCACAUCUUGACGGUACCUAAUCAGAAAGCCACGGCUAACUACGUG